GGCCUCGUGGCCCAAUGGCAAGGCGUCUGACUACGAUGAUUCGAUUCUCAAGCAUUGAGCUCGAUUCACGGUUAUCAGGAGAUUGUCGGUUCGAUCCCGGCCGAGGUCA